rnacentral:lncRNA from 1 species
CAGUGUCGUUACCAGAAGUCAUCAAAUCAACAAACUUCAAAUCUUCUUUCUGAGCUUCUCGGAUACUGUUCAAGAAAUCACUAUCAAUUUUCAACAUUCCCAACUGUAUACUCUGGGGUGACAAUUCACAGACAAGACUCAUGUCUCUGAACUGUUCUAACAAUUCAAACUCCUUCACCAUCAAAGCAGACAUGUGCAAAGUUUUCCUACUCAAAGCAUCAGCAACCACAUUGGCCUUACCAGGAUGGUAAUUCAAGCCAAAAUCAAAAUCCUUCAGUAACUCUAACCACCUCCUCUGCCUCAUGUUCAGUUCUUUCU